AUAGCAUCACCCAUGAACUAGCGGGAAAGUUUGAGAGUUCUUCUGUGGAAAAGUCGAGAAAGAGAUGGCUGUUUGCCAUGCCCUAGACGCUCUCUUGACCUUGAUUCUUGGUAGAUGAAGGUGAAUACUUAUUUGGAGUUAGGUGGCCAGAGCUUUUUAAACUGGUGCACAAGAGCUCUCUUACACCUCAUUGCAAUGAAGAGACUGAGCUAGAAGAUUUUUUGAAGCCUAAUAUGUUCUUCUGGGUUAUGUAUGAUACAAACCAGUACCUGUACGUAUCUAAAGAACAGCUUAAAUUGCCCUCUGGAUAUCUCCAAAACAGCGCAAAUCUCAAGGAAGGGCUUUGUAACACAGGGGAGAUUUUCGAGCUGUCAGAAAAGUACUUUAAAUCGUUGAUGACUCCUGAAAAUGGCAUUACACUCAGAAGAUAGCUUAGCAAUUAAAUGGGAUAGUUCUCUGGAAAGCAGAGUGGUCUCAACCCACUAAGGUGCCAACACAAUCAGCUCUCCUGUGAAAUAUCUACAAGAAUUGUUCAAGAAAGGGACAUUAGUAUUCUGGUUGAAACAGUAGAAAAGAGAACUCAAUCAGACACACACUUUCCAACAUAAGCAUUGAAACCCAAACUGCAGACAGUUUGGUUGCAGAGAAUGCCAACGAGAUUGUGGUGGAAAGUAUUAGCCACCUCAAGGGCCUUGAAUCUAAAGUGAUCAUCUUGUAUAAUCCUCCAUAUGAAGAUGAUUCAGGAAUCAGUGGAUGCACUAAAGAGUUGCUCUACACUGCAGUAUCCAGGUGUUUUUGUUAUCUCAUUAUAACUACACAGGCUGGUUGCAGGGCUUUAUGGUCAGAUCAAGGGAUUCAAGAGAUAACUGGCAAUACAGCACAACAGGUUCCAUGACAAUUUCCAACCCGGUCACCUUGGGACAGAAAUUCAACACUUUUUUUCACAACAGAUACAAACUUUCCCAAUAGGUGCUACCUCCAAUACCUCAGGGGUUUUGAUGAAAUGACCCCAUAUCCCAUGUAUGAUCAAGCCAAGAACAUUUCAAGCCAUUCCAAUUCCCAAUGGACAUUGAUACAGAGUGACUCACUAAAUGUGGCCAAUCUAAGUUGUUACACAACCUUUCUGGUGUGGAGGUAGUUAAAGGUGAUCAACCAGUGCAAAAUUUAACUUUUACUUGUUAUUAAUGUAUUCAUGACUUCUGGCUGUUUGAUUGCCACUGUACAUGUUGACAACCAAAGUGGUCAACAGAGUCAAAGGCAUUGAGGUUUAUUAAUUUGUGCUAACUAUUAUUUAAUAUUUGACAUGUUUUUUCAAUAAUUUGAUUGGAUCAUUGCUUUUGAUUCAGAAUUGUUCAACCAUAUAUUAAGCAUUAAUGGUUGAGAACAAUGCAGUACACAGCCCUGGUUGUUCCUGGGUUUAGACUCAAGUUGUGUGUUUUUUGGGAAAUGUUAUAAAAUUAAUGUCAAAGAGA